CCUUGAGUCAUCCAGUGGGGGAGACAAGACAGCCACAUGGAACAUUCAGAGGGCAGGAAAAGUGUGCAGUUAAAUGCUAAGUCAUGUGGGGCAUUAGAUUGCUAGAAGGACACGAGGAAGAAGACCGCAAAGGACCAGUGUGCUCAGGAAAAGACUCAUAAAGGAUUUUAAAUGUUAGGAAGAAACUGGAUGAGAAGAAACGGCUAGAAGGAGACAAGAUGUGCAAGAUGAAGAUGAUUGGAAGCUCAGAGAAGGGAAUGCUCAGGGUGGCCUCUAAGAGAAGGAAGGAUGUUCAGAAUGCCCCUGGCUCGCUGCUGCCGAAUCCAGAGCUGCAUUUGAACACCAGCCUUGGAAGAUGGACACUAGCCGCCUCCAAAGGAAGCAAUCCUCACUGGGUAGCAAAUGACUCUGAGUGGGAGGACAGAAACCACUCAGCCGCUGCCAAAUGGAGAUGUUGUUAUAAAUCAGCGGAUCAAGGGGACUCGGACACCAAAAUUCAAUCAGCCAAAUUUUAUUUAUUCCUGCGCAGGGGCUGUCAGCACUCCGUGCAGGGAGGGCGGGCGCCCCGCUUUCCCGGUCUGGGGGUUUAUCCCCUGGGCGGAGCCUGCACUGCAGAGCAAGCAAGGGGUCACAGAAGCCGGAGAUUUGCGGUUAGCUACGUCCUCUUGUAAGUUGCCGGUUAGCCACAUUUUGUUUUUAACAUAAGGCUUCCACUCAACUACCCCUCCCACCUGCCAUCCCAUACUAAGUAUUGUCUACCUGGUAAUUUUCCUUUUCCACAAUGUGAUAUACUAACAAAUGUUCUUUUUAAAAAUCACAUUAAACCAGUUAUAACUGAAUGCAAAACCACCUGAAACAUACUGAGUCAAUGAGGAAAAUAUGCCCCUGGGAGGAAGCGGAAUAAUAGAGGGAUUUUUCUUGAAUUUAUAAUUACUCAUUCUUUGGUGGAAGGAUUAAACUAGCAAGUGAUAGGAGCCUCAGUAUGGCUAAGGACCCUGUUUUCAUUGCAGCCUCACGGAACAAAGGAGAGAUUCCUAAUUCACAUGUGAUGUUGCCCUGCAUUUCUCAUCUUUUUUGAAUGGAGCUAACAGUAGGUUUUUUUUCAACCAGCUCUUCACUUUUGCCAGAUAUCUUAGAAUGUGGAAAAAUACAGUACAAGUCAGGGAAAAGGAGAAAUCUUUGAAUAAUCAUUUUAAAUUGUAUAAGUUGCUAUGAGAUGCUGUUUUUAUAAUAAAAACCAUAUAUACAAUGAAUGGAAGAGAAAUUACCAUGUGUCUCAAGUCUAUCUUAGAAACUGUAAAAUGAGAAAAAGCCUUUUGAAAAUUCUCCUUAUAUAUCUCUUGGGACUGAAAAAACUACAACUAUUUUAGGCCUACCCUUCUGACCCCACUUUCCUUCUAACAAGUCAACAGAAUUUGAUAAUCAAAUGCUUCAAAUGAUGCCAAAAGUUCUGACAUAAUGUCCGGGCACAGUUAUUGGAGUUACAGCUGAAAAGAGGCAGAAAGCAGAGGUGGGUCUUGUUGAGUCUAGGUCUGACUCAGAACCAGAGGAAACCAUGAAAGCAUCAGACCAAGAAGACAAUUGUAUGUUUGGCCUUCCUGUAGAGACAAUGGUAGGACUCUUAGACAUCCACACUGUCUCAAAGGAAGUUUCUGGAUUUCCUCUAUCAUAAAUUCCCUUCCUGAAAAUUUCAGAGCAACCCAUAUUCAAGGACAAGGCACUGUGGAAAAACAAGAUUUAAUUAGGGACCCAGGAGGUGGUGAAGAUUUAGCAUUAUGCAAUCAAAUUAAAUAUUUUUCUGCAGCUUUUUGUUUUCUUGACAACUUAGCAAAGUUACUCAGAAUGUAAAUAAAUCUAAUGAAGAAUAAACCCAAGUGAUUAAAUCAAUAGUGGCAAACUCUAUGACCUUUUUAGAGGGCACCUGAUUUUCCCUUUUUGUCUGAAUCCAUUUCAAGAAGAACUUACUUCAAAAAUAAUGUGGAAAAUUAUUUGAUUCGGUGUGCAAAAUCCAUGGUUUUCUUAAAAAGAUCAAAUUGUGUCAUUAUGUCUUAGAAUUUAGAAAAUACUAUUUCAGUGAAUUCUUUAACAUUAAAAAGUUCCACUACUUGGCAUCUACCCAAAAGAUCAAACGUCACUUUAUGAAAAAGACACCUGCACUCGAAUGUUUAUAAUAGCACAAUUCACACUUGCAAAGUUGUGUAAACAACCCAAGUGCCCAUCAUAUCAAUUCAUGAGUGGAUUAAUAAAAUGUGGUAUAUGUAUACCAUGGAGUA
rnacentral:lncRNA from 1 species